GCACGGGGGGAUGCCCUUAGAUGUUCUGGGCCGCACGCGCGCUACACUGAUGGAUGCAACGAGCUCUACCCUUGACCGAAAGGCCCGGGUAAACUUGUCAAAAUCCAUCGUGAUGGGGAUAGAUUAUUGCAAUUCUUGAUCUUCAACGAGGAAUUCCUAGUAAGCGCGA
rnacentral:rRNA from 1 species